UACGUAGGGGGCAAGCGUUGUUCGGAAUUACUGGGCGUAAAGGGCGCGUAGGCGGCAUGGCAAGUCAGGAGUGAAAGGCCUGGGCUCAACCGAGGAACUGCUUUUGAUACUGCCAAGCUAGAGUGCGGAAGGGGCAACUGGAAUUCCCAGUGUAGCGGUGAAAUGCGUAGAUAUCAGGAGGAACACCGGUGGCGAAGGCGGGUCUCUGGGCAACAACUGACGCUGAGGAGCGAAAGCGUGGGGAGCGAACAGG
rnacentral:rRNA from 1 species